UGACCGUGCAAAGGUAGCGUAAUCACUUGUCUUUUAAAUAAAGACUGGUAUGAACGGCACCACGAAGGUUCAACUGUCUCCUGCAUCUGAUCCAUUAAACUGACCUCCCCGUGCAGAGGCGGGGAUACAACCAUAAGACGAGAAGACCCUAUGGAGCUUUAAACUAAAGGCAACUGCCAACUAUAAUCAUACCCGUAAGGAAUUAAUAAUAAAACAAGCAGAAAUUGACCUAAAGUUUUCGGUUGGGGCGACCACGGAGAAUAAAAAAUCCUCCUUGAAGAAUAGGGCCUACCACCCUUAACCAAGAACCACCAUUCUAAGUAACAAAAUUUAUGACUACAAUUGAUCCAGUCUUACUGAUCAACGAACCAAGUUACCCUAGGGAUAACAGCGCAAUCCAUUUCAAAAGUUCCUAUCGACAAAUGGGUUUACGACCUCGAUGUUGGAUCAGGGCAUCCCAGUGGUGCAGCCGCUACUAAAGGUUCGUUUGUUCAACGAUUAAAGCCCUACGUGAUCU
rnacentral:rRNA from 1 species